AAAACAAUGUAGUAAAUACUGCAACUUGUUAUACUCUUCAUUGGAAAUUUUGUUUUUUCAUAAAAUAAAAAAUGAGGUGGAAAUUUUAUGACAAAAGAAAGUAGGAAUUCUUGACAGGGAUAGGAUGGGUGGCUUGGGAAAAAUGUGAUCUAUUUUGGACCCUUGAUACUUGAGAAAAGUGUGCUGGGAAUGCUGGUUUUCAGAGUCCAAGGGAGCUGUUGGAAGUUCCAUGGCUCCUGGUGAACUGCUCAUCCAGACCGGCUCUGACCUGCUCUGGGGCACUAGGGAGGGAAAACAAAUCCACUUCUCCUGUUUCUCUGAGUGGACCAUGUCAGGAUGUCUCUCAGUGUUCUCUGCAGUAAGCAUGAGAUCUGUGCUUUUCAUGCUGCUACAGGCUUUAAAAAGCCUUCAGUGAAGAGUCUAGGAUCAGGUAGGAGCUACAUGGCCAAUAAGCUCUUGUGCUCUUUGUAGAAGUCACUGUCCAGGAGGGACAGGGAGCAGAGGCAGGGCUGGCCCGGGGCUGAGUGAAGAAGCUGUGGACUCCUGUGUGUAUGAGUCUCCUCAGCUUCAAGUGUGGCAACCACUCCUUACCAUACCCAUUAUGGAGAGUCAGGACAGGGAGGGCAGAGGGGACAGUGUCAGGGAAGUGGACAGAGUGGGACCUUGCACUGGGCUUGCUGUGCCUGCCUCUCCCAGCUGGUGUCUUCUCUGUUUAGCUUGUGCUCCAAUAACUGUUUGUCCACAGAGAAACCUGCCACCUCCUUGCUGGAUUUCUGUCAGGCCAUGUUGAACACUGCCAAGCAUCAGAACAGCCAGAUCCUUUCUCCUCCCUCACCCCCAAAUGCUCUCCAUUGUAGCCACAGUCCCAGGAAGCCAAGCAAAGUGGCAUCCCUGGUGAGGAUGAGACACCAGCUCUGCUGCUUAAACAUGAUAACUAGAGCUGUGCAACAUGCCUGGCCCGAAGGCGGUCAAUAUCUGGCAUUAUUUUCAGUGGAUUCUGUGGACACAACAUGGUUUGGUGUGAGGAAUUCAUUAGUUCCUGUGUCCUUUAUGGGGGAAAGACACAGAGACUUUGUGCCCCAGGGGAGCAAGCGCACAGUUGUGUCUGACUUGUGACUUGGCCCUCGGUGGCCCAAGAGCAUCUUUGAACACUUUUUUCUCCUUCCUCCAGCACCAGCUGUUGACUUCUCAUCCUGAGGGGAAGAAACUGUACCUCAGUGUAAAAAUGGGCAACUAUGGGUUAACUGUGUAACUGUACUUGCUGAGGAAGAUACCUUGUAACUGCAGUCACCACUGUAAUGCAAGCUCACUGGAGCAAGGCGAUCUCAGACAGCCCUGCCAAAUCUCCUGCUCCCCUCUUCACUGCCCCUUUGCUUAUAUAAUUAAGUUUACAUUGAUGGCUGUUUCCCCAGUAAUUACAGUUGCUGUUUCUCCCUCCCACAGAAACAUAAAGAGAGUAAACUUCUGUUUACUCUAAGGUGAUUUGAAUCCCUUGAAACCACCUGCAAUAAAGCUGAUAUUUGCUCCUACUAAGUGUGGUCAGUGGUCUGUCUGGAGACCCCCAAGCAGUCACACUUCAAUCCCAAGUUGCCCUCUGCAUUUGAAGUCACAAGUCUAAGAGUCCCUGGCUGUGACAUUUGCUGCAGAAGGUCCCCUGAGCUCUGGCACCUUGGGCAGGGACCCUGAUGGCGGGGGACCCACUGCAGCCUUUUCAGAGGAGCUCUGCUUGCCAAGGUCACUGAGGAGCUCUGGACAGUCCCUGGUACAGCCUGCAGCAGGUGCUUCUGGCCCACACUCUUGGCCAAGUGCCCUACUGGGGUUGAAUGUGCCUAGGACAUACUGCUUGACAAACUGUUUUUCUUUUCUCUGCCAGGGAAUUAUAUAAAAGAACUACAGGAAAAUCUCAGGUUACAUGACAAGAGACCUGCCCUCUGAGGCCACCAAGCCUUCAUUGUGGUGUGCUGAAAUGUGAAUACUGAGGAUGGGAACCAGCUGCCAUUGGGAUCUUGCUGGCGUCUUCUGCCACCGCCUGAGGACACAGGGAAUGACCUGGUGGGGGCUCACGUCUGCUGGGCCUGAGGUGGGGGUGAGGAGGGCAGUGUUGAGUGGAGGUCCCACGGCUGUCCUGGUCCCUCAGGGACACUGCUCCUCCCCACACAGGGCUGCAGUUUACACAGAAACCAGGGCUGCUGCACGUGCAUGUCACCCACCUGAAGCCAGAUGACCCUGGCUUCUGGGAUUUAUUUUUUCUCUUAAUCAAUGUACAAUCUGUCCCUUCUGUGUUUUCUCUUACCUGCCAAUCACCACUCUAUUUCAGGGAUAGUUUCAGGCAUAGGUGAAUCAUUGUUGAGAAUAGCAGAAGAUUUUCUAGCCUCUUUACUUUCAUGUUUUAAUUACAGGUCCAGGAAAUAACGGAACUUCAUUUUUUCCAGAUCCCGAGAUUCAGCUGACCCUCUGGGCACUGUCUACGCCAGUGCAGAGUGGUGGGGGACAUGGAAGAGCUGGGAGCAGGGAGAUGAGGAGCCACUGGCUGCAGGGUCCCCUUACCUGGAGGUCCAGAGAGGACAAGUCUCGCCGCCCCCACUCUGCCCCCCAUACCACUUGUACGGGGCUCGCGUGCAGCUGGAGCAAAGUGGGAUGGGCAGCUUCAAAAGGCAGCUGCUAGCUCUGGAAGGACCAGGCAUUUUCCUUCCAAGCAGUUAACAGAGGACUCCACACAAAGGCCAGGGCACUCAGGCACCAGAGAGUAAAGUCAAGGCUGCAGCGGGUCUGGUUGCCUUGCCCUCACCGCCAUGCACAGGGAGAGGGAGGGGUAAGCAUUAAAAGGGAUGGGGUGGAGAGCAGGGCCCUAUGGGAAAGGAAAGAAGAAAGGGAGGGGAAGGCGGGGAGGGGUAGGGGGUGGGCAGCACAAAGGGAUUCAGGUCUGUUGGGCUCAGAGUCCCAGUCAGGCCAGUGUUUCAGCUCUGGGUCUGUUUCCCCAGGCCUUCAUCACACAUGCAGUGUAAAGCAGUCCUGGGAGUUUUCUUUGUGG
rnacentral:lncRNA from 1 species